CUCAGUUCGGAUUGUAGUCUGCAACUCGACUACAUGAAGCUGGAAUCGCUAGUAAUCGCGAAUCAGAAUGUCGCGGUGAAUACGUUCCCGGGUCUUGUACACACCGCCCGUCACACCAUGGGAGUUGGGAAUGCCCGAAGCCGGUGACCUAACCGAAAGGGAGGAGCCGUCGAAGGCAGGCUUGAUAACUGGGGUGAAGUCGUAACAAGGUAUC
rnacentral:rRNA from 1 species